CCUACGGGAGGCUGCAGUGGGGAAUAUUGGGCAAUGGGCGCAAGCCUGACCCAGCAACGCCGCGUGAAGGAAGAAGGCUUUCGGGUUGUAAACUUCUUUUGUCAGGGAAGAGUAGAAGACGGUACCUGACGAAUAAGCCACGGCUAACUACGUGCCAGCAGCCGCGGUAAUACGUAGGUGGCAAGCGUUGUCCGGAUUUACUGGGUGUAAAGGGCGUGUAGCCGGGUUGACAAGUCAGAUGUGAAAUCCUGCGGCUUAACCGCAGAACUGCAUUUGAAACUGUUGAUCUUGAGUACUGGAGAGGCAGACGGAAUUGCUGGGGUAGCGGUGAAAUGCGUGGAUAUUAGGAGGAACACCAGUGGCGAAGGCGGUCUGCUGGACAGCAACUGACGGGGAGGCGCGAAGGCGUGGGGAGCAAACAGGAUUAGAUACCCUAGUAGUC
rnacentral:rRNA from 1 species